rnacentral:rRNA from 1 species
GAGUUUGAUCAUGGCUCAGGACGAACGCUGGCGGCGUGCUUAACACAUGCAAGUCACGGGGGCUUAGGGGCGACUCUAGGCAACCGGCGGACGGGUGCGUAACACGUGAGCGACCUGCCGAGCUGCGGGGGAUAGCCGGCCCAACGGCCGGGUAAUACCGCGUACGCUCCCUGGGGGGCAUCCCCGGGGGAGGAAACCUCCUUCAACAAGAGGGCGGCUCGAGGGGCUCGCGGCCUAUCAGCUCGUUGGCGGUGUAACGGACCACCAAGGCGACGACGGGUAGCUGGUCUGAGAGGAUGGCCAGCCACAUUGGGACUGAGAGACGGCCCAGACUCCUACGGGAGGCAGCAGUGGGGAAUCUUGCGCAAUGGUUGAAAAACUGACGCAGCGACGCCGCGUGUGGGAGGACGCCCUUCGGGGUGUAAACCACUGUCGCCCGGGACGAACAUCUCUAUUCGUAGAGACUGACGGUACCGGGCGAGGAAGCGCCGGCUAACUCCGUGCCAGCAGCCGCGGUAAUACGGAGGGCGCGAGCGUUGUCCGGAAUCACUGGGCGUAAAGGGCGCGUAGGCGGCUCACUAAGGACCGCGUGAAAGCCCGGGGCUCAACCCCGGGUCGGCGCGGUCGACUAGUGGGCUUCGGGCGCGGUAGGGGCAGGCGGAAUUCCGGGUGUAGCGGUGGAAUGCGUAGAGAUCCGGAAGAACACCGGUGGCGAAGCGGCCUGCUGGGCCGUGGGGAGUGUCACAACUCCGUGCCGACGCUGAGGCGCGACAGCGUGGGGAGCAAACAGGAUUAGAUACCCUGGUAGUCCACGCCGUAAACGAUGGGCACUAGGCGCCCGGGGGAGCGACCCCCCGGGUGCCGGCGCUAACGCAUUAAGUGCCCCGCCUGGGGAGUACGGCCGCAAGGCUGAAACUCAAAGGAAUUGACGGGGGCCCGCACAAGCGGUGGAGCAUGUGGUUUAAUUCGACGCAACGCGAAGAACCUUACCUGGGCUUGACAUGUCAGGGAAACCCCUGGGAAACUAGGGGCCCCCUUCGGGGCCCUGACACAGGUGCUGCAUGGCUGUCGUCAGCUCGUGUCGUGAGAUGUUGGGUUAAGUCCCGCAACGAGCGCAACCCCCGCCCCCAGUUGCCAGCGGAAGCUUAAAACGCUUGCCGGGGACUCUGGGGGGACUGCCGGUGCCAAACCGGAGGAGGGUGGGGACGACGUCAAGUCAUCAUGGUCCCGACGUCCAGGGCCACACACGUGCUACAAUGGGCGGUACAGAGGGCCAGCGAGCUGGUAACAGCGAGCCAAUCCCAGAAAGCCGCCCUCAGUGCGGAUCGGAGGCUGCAACCCGCCUCCGUGAAGCCGGAAUCGCUAGUAAUCGGGGAUCAGCCACGCCCCGGUGAAUACGUUCCCGGGCCUUGUACACACCGCCCGUCACGCCAUGGGGGCUGCGAGCGCCCGAAGUCGGUGCAAUAACCCUGUUCACUCAGGGGGUGAGCCGCCGAAGGCGAGCGCAGUGACUGGGGCGAAGUCGUAACAAGGUAACCGUA